rnacentral:rRNA from 1 species
GACAGAGGCCUCAAGCGUUAGGCGGAAUCACUGGGCUUAAAGCGUGUGUAGGCGGAUCGUUAAGUACCUUGUGAAAUCCCACGGCUCAACCGUGGAACUGCUGGGUAUACUGGUUGUCUUGAGCCAGCUAGGGGCGAGCGGAACAGACGGUGGAGCGGUGAAAUGCGUAGAUAUCGUCUGGAACGCCGAAGGUGAAAACAGCUCGCUGGGGCUGCGCUGACGCUGAGACACGAAAGCCAGGGGAGCGAACGGG